GAGGAAUGUAUAGCAAUAGCUACUUGUAUCAUUAAUGAUGCAAGCUCUGCUAUGUUGAAUAAAGUUCUAGGUAGAAUUAUGAUAAUGACAUUGUCUGCCUAUGUGUCUUGACCAAAUUACGUGCCAGCAGUCGCGGUAAUACGUAGAAGACUAGUGUUAUUCAUGUUUAAUCGGUUUAAAGGGUACCUAGACGGUGAAUCAAGCUUUAGAAUAAAGAAGAAAAGGGACUAAUUCGCUAGAGUUACUUACGAGGGGGUAGUAAAGUACUGCUGGUGUAGAGAUGAAAUUCUGUCAUACCUCUUUUCAAACGAAAAAUUAUGGCACAGGUAUAGGCGAAGGCAUCCCCUUAUGUGAUAACUGACGUUGAGGGACGAAGGCUUCGUGGAACAAACAGGAUUAGGUACCCUAGUAGUUGAAGCAGAAAAUGAUGAAUGUCAUAGAUUAGACGUCUAAGUUUAUUCUAUAAAUGAAAGUGUAAGCAUUCCACCUCAUGAGUAAUUUGGCAACAUUGGAAUUGAAAUCAUUAGACCGUUUCUGAAACCAG
rnacentral:rRNA from 1 species